AAAAUUUUGACCAUAUUCUUACCACUUUCUAACAAUUUCCUCAUUAACCUAGAUCUGAAAUUUUAUUUUCACAUUCUCAUCAGUUCAGUUUUCUUCUCAAGCGGCGCCACUGAGCUUCCUUUCUCUAUUUCUCUUUUUUCUUUUUUUUUUUCUAAUUUCCUUCUUCUUCUCUGUCACUCCAUCAUUGUAACCUCUCUCUUUUCUUCAUUGCAGGUCAAGUUUGGGAAGCUUGUUACUUCUACUCAGCCUUGCUUCAGUCAACAUUCCUCUGCUCUUGCAAGGAAAGGAUUCGUUGAGACAAUGGAAAAAGACAAGACCAAGAAGAACGAGGAAUUAAGAAAUGGUGGAUCCAUGACGAGUGUCCUAUUUCGUUUUUAGUUAUUUUCAAUAUGUGUAUUCUUAUGUCGCUAAACAUCAAUUUUUUUAUUUAAAA